UGGAGUGAUUUGUCUGGUUAAUUCCGUUAACGAACGAGACCUCGACCUGCUAAAUAGUUCGGCGAAUUCUUCGGGAUUCGUACGUGACUUCUUAGAGGGACUAUCGGUGUGUAGCCGAUGGAAGUUCGAGGCAAUAACAGGUCUGUGAUGCCCUUAGAUGUCCUGGGCCGCACGCGCGCUACACUGACAGGUUCAUCGAGCUUACAACCUUGGCUGGAAAGUCUGGGUAAUCUUCUCAAAGCCUGUCGCGCUGGGGAUUGCAUCUUGAAAUUCUGAUGCAUAAACGAGGAAUUCCUAGUAAACGCAAGUCAUCAACUUGCAUUGAUUACGUCCCUGCCCUUUGUACACACCGCCCGUCGCUACUACCGAUCGAACGGCUUAGUGAGCUUUAUGGAUUGACGCUGGCGCUUGGGUUUCCAACUGCUGGUGUUGAGAAGUAACACAAACUUGGCCGUUUAGAGGAAGUAAAAGUCGUAACAAGGUUUCCGUAG
rnacentral:rRNA from 1 species